CGUACACUCCUACGGGAGGCAGCAGUGGGGAAUAUUGGACAAUGGGCGCAAGCCUGAUCCAGCCAUGCCGCGUGAGUGAUGAAGGCCCUAGGGUUGUAAAGCUCUUUCACCGGAGAAGAUAAUGACGGUAUCCGGAGAAGAAGCCCCGGCUAACUUCGUGCCAGCAGCCGCGGUAAUACGAAGGGGGCUAGCGUUGUUCGGAAUUACUGGGCGUAAAGCGCACGUAGGCGGAUCGAUCAGUCAGGGGUGAAAUCCCAGGGCUCAACCCUGGAACUGCCUUUGAUACUGUCGAUCUGGAGUAUGGAAGAGGUGAGUGGAAUUCCGAGUGUAGAGGUGAAAUUCGUAGAUAUUCGGAGGAACACCAGUGGCGAAGGCGGCUCACUGGUCCAUUACUGACGCUGAGGUGCGAAAGCGUGGGGAGCAAACAGGAUUAGAAACCCUAGUAGUCCCAUGAU
rnacentral:rRNA from 1 species